rnacentral:rRNA from 1 species
GAUGAACGCUGGCGGCGUGCCUAAUACAUGCAAGUCGAGCGAACAGACGAGGAGCUUGCUCCUCUGACGUUAGCGGCGGACGGGUGAGUAACACGUGGAUAACCUACCUAUAAGACUGGGAUAACUUCGGGAAACCGGAGCUAAUACCGGAUAAUAUAUUGAACCGCAUGGUUCAAUAGUGAAAGACGGUUUUGCUGUCACUUAUAGAUGGAUCCGCGCCGCAUUAGCUAGUUGGUAAGGUAACGGCUUACCAAGGCAACGAUGCGUAGCCGACCUGAGAGGGUGAUCGGCCACACGGGAACUGAGACACGGUCCAGACUCCGACGGGAGGCAGCAGUAGGGAAUCUUCCGCAAUGGGCGAAAGCCUGACGGAGCAACGCCGCGUGAGUGAUGAAGGUCUUCGGAUCGUAAAACUCUGUUAUUAGGGAAGAACAAAUGUGUAAGUAACUAUGCACGUCUUGACGGUACCUAAUCAGAAAGCCACGGCUAACUACGUGCCAGCCGCCGCAGUAA